UAGGGAAUCUUCGGCAAUGGGGGGAACCCUGACCGAGCAACGCCGCGUGAGUGAAGAAGGUUUUCGGAUCGUAAAGCUCUGUUGUUAAGGAAGAACGAGUGUGAGAAUGGAAAGUUCAUGCUGUGACGGUACUUAACCAGAAAGGGACGGCUAACUACGUGCCAGCAGCCGCGGUAAUACGUAGGUCCCGAGCGUUGUCCGGAUUUAUUGGGCGUAAAGCGAGCGCAGGCGGUUAGAAAAGUCUGAAGUGAAAGGCAGUGGCUCAACCAUUGUAGGCUUUGGAAACUGUUUAACUUGAGUGCAGAAAGGGAGAGUGGAGUUCCAUGUGUAGCGGUGAGAUGCGUAGAUAUAUGGAGGAACACCGGUGGCGAAGGCGGCUCUCUGGUCUGUAACUGACGCUGAGGCUCGAAAGCGUGGGGAGCGAACAGG
rnacentral:rRNA from 1 species